GGAGGUCCGAACCUGUUGGUGUUGAAAAACCAUUGGAUGAGAUGUGGGUAGGGGUGAAAGGCCAAUCAAACUCGGAGAUAGCUCGUUCUCCCCGAAAUAGUUUUAGGACUAGCCUCAGGUAAAAGUGUCACGGAGGUAGAGCACUAAUAGGGUUAGGGCCCUCACCGGGGUACCGCCCCCUGUUAAACUCCGAAUGCCGUAGACAUGUUACCUGGGAGUCAGCCUGUGAGGGAUAAGCUUCACAGACGAGAGGGAAAGAACCCAGACCGUCAGCUAAGGUCCCCAAGUCAUGGCUAAGUGAGAAAGGAUGUUAAACCGCAGAGACAACCAGGAUGUUGGCUUAGAAGCAGCCAUCAUUUAAAGAGUGCGUAAUAGCUCACUGGUCAAGUGGUUUGGCGCCGAUAAUUGUCGGGACUCAAGUCAUGCACCGAAGCUACGGAUUCAAGGAACAAGGUUCAAGGUACAAGGAGCAAGCAGAUGCAGUCGUUGGAUGAUUUAUCUGUGUAUACCCGCAGUUAUGCUGCCAGCCUGAAGAUUCAUAAAUUAAGUUUAGAAUUUCCGGCUUAUGAACAGUAUAAAGGGAUUGCAUCGCAAUUAAGAGAUAGUAGUAAAUCCCUGGUUGCGAAUAUCGUCGAAGGCUAUGCUUUUAAGAAACAUAGGCCAAAGCGAUUUUUAAAUCAUUUAGAGAUAAGCAUCGGUAGUUGUGACGAGACGCGACUGUGGCUGAAGUAUAGUUAUGAUUUAGGCUAUAUUACAGAAGCGGAUUAUCUUGAACUAAAAGCGGAAUAUGAGGAGAUAGGCAAGAUGUUAUGGGGAUUGUUGAAGUCCCUGAGCCUUGCGCCUUGAUCCUUGUUCCUUGAGUGGUAGGGGAGCAUUCCAUUAACCGUUGAAGGUGCAUCGUGAGGUGUGCUGGAGGAGAUGGAAACGAGGAUGCUGGCAUAAGUAGCGAUAAAACAGGUGAGAACCCUGUUCACCGAAAAUCUAAGGUUUCCUGAGUAAAGUCAAUCUGCUCAGGGUUAGUCGGCCCCUAAGCCGAGGCCGAGAGGCGUAGGCGAUGGGAAACGGGUUAAAUAUUCCCGUACCAGCUUUAGCUUGUUUGAGCGAAGGGGGGACGCAGAAGUGACCGGCCAGCCGUCUGACGGAAUAGGCGGUUUAAGCGCGUAGGCUGGAGAUGUAGGCAAAUCCGCAUCUCCUUUAAGGCCGAGACGCGAAUAGGAGCCCGUAAGGGCACAAACUGGCCCUAAUCACGCUGCCGAGAAAAGCCUCUAAGCGAGAGCUAAAGCUGACCGUACCGAAAACCGACACAGGUAGAUGAGGAGAGAAUCCUAAGGUGCUCGAGAGAGUCCUCGUUAAGGAACUCGGCAAAUUGACCCCGUAACUUCGGGAGAAGGGGUGCCUCGGGCUGUGAAUGGACUUGCUCCAGGAGCGGUCUGAGGUCGCAGUGACCAGGCCCAAGCGACUGUUUACUAAAAACACAUGUCUCUGCGAAGUCGUAAGACGACGUAUAGGGACUGACACCUGCCCGGUGCCGGAAGGUUAAGGGGAUCUGUUAUUCCGCUUCGGUGGGAGAAGCAGUGAACCGAAGCCCCGGUAAACGGCGGCCGUAACUAUAACGGUCCUAAGGUAGCGAAAUUCCUUGUCGGGUAAGUUCCGACCUGCACGAAUGG
rnacentral:rRNA from 1 species